UUUCUUCGGGGCAGGGUGAAAUUCCCAACCGACGGUAACAAGGAAACUUGAAGUCCGUGACCCGCUCGUUUUUACGAGUGGCUGAACCAGUGUAAGCCUGGUACCGACAGUAUAGUCUGGAUGGGAGAAGAA
rnacentral:ncRNA from 1 species